GACGAACGCUGGCGGCGUGCUUAACACAUGCAAGUCGAACGGAAAGGCCCUGCUUUUGUGGGGUGCUCGAGUGGCGAACGGGUGAGUAACACGUGAGUAACCUGCCCUUGACUUUGGGAUAACUUCAGGAAACUGGGGCUAAUACCGGAUAGGAGCUCCUGCUGCAUGGUGGGGGUUGGAAAGUUUCGGCGGUUGGGGAUGGACUCGCGGCUUAUCAGCUUGUUGGUGGGGUAGUGGCUUACCAAGGCUUUGACGGGUAGCCGGCCUGGGAGGGUGACCGGCCACAUUGGGACUGAGAUACGGCCCAGACUCCUACGGGAGGCAGCAGUGGGGAAUAUUGCACAAUGGGCGGAAGCCUGAUGCAGCAACGCCGCGUGCGGGAUGACGGCCUUCGGGUUGUAAACCGCUUUCGCCUGUGACGAAGCGUGAGUGACGGUAAUGGGUAAAGAAGCACCGGCUAGCUACGUG
rnacentral:rRNA from 1 species